GCGUCUGGAUUGAAGACCAGUGAGAUUAAGCCCUUUACUUGUGGCAUCUCACGCUAUUGUCAUGUAUCUAGCGGCUUACUUGAAUUAAAUUGUGGGAAAAACAGUUGUUGUCAGCUGAGAAUUAAAUUGAACCAUUGUGAAGAAACAUCUUAUAUAAAUGUAUGGCUAACUGGCAAGAUUCCAAAAUAGUAAUAUUUUUCCACUACUUUGAUGGAAACUGUAUGUAGAUUUGAUAUACACAGACAGCUUGUAUUUAAUUUGGAUAAUAACUAAUGGAAUGACUGAUAAUUAAUUAAAUAUCAAUGAAAAUAAUAACUGUGUUCACUCUUUAUCUAGACCUUAACCUAGUGUUUCCAAUGUACUGCACAUUGGAAUCUGCUGGAGAUCUUUAUAAAACAUAAAAUCUGGCUCUUAAUUCCAAAAUCUGUUUUCAUUGGUAUGCAAAAUGGGCAUCAUUUUUGUCAAAAGCUCCCAAGACUGUUUCAAUACACAGCAAAAUUUGGAACAGCUGCCUUUAUUUGAUAUGCAAAAAACACAUAUUGUCUAUAUAUAUAGGAGAAAUGCAAGUUUUUCUGCCUUCCCUUCUGAUAACAUAUGGAAACAUGACCCUUUCAUUAAAAAUAUUCUUUCUCUCGCCUCCUUUCAAUGAUUCCCAUGGGUUUUAGAACUCUAUCCUUUGAGUUCCCUAUUAAAAAAACAGCGUAUCCCUGGACAAUGUUGUUAGGGCAGCAUAGGUGGUCAGUAGAAAACAUACCAAAGGCCAAUGAGAUUCUGAUUCCAGUUAUCUCAAAAGACAAUGCCAAAUUGAAGGCCAAGGAAAGUCUUAUGAGAAACCAUUACUGAGAAGCCUAAAGUCUUCUAUGCUACAGGUGGUCAGCUUCAGAGACCAAAGGGAGCCUCACAGUGUAUGCAGGCUCAGCUCUCUGGAUGGCCUCCCACCUUCACAACAUCUUAGCCAAUCACUGCAUUUAAUUAAAGAGAAUAGACAGCCUUAGAACAAAUACAAACAGUUCUCUCUAGAUUACAAUAAAAUGACAAGAAUCAUAGUACAAAUCAGUAUUAAUUAUUAAAAAAAUUUUAAAGACAUACCAAAUAAAUUAUUGUGCAUUCUAAAUAUAUACACAUAAUGGGGCCAGGUACGGUGGCUCAUGCCUGUAAUCCCAGCACUUUGGGAGGCCAAGGUGGGCGAAUCACGAGGUCAGGAGUUCGAGACCAGCCUGACUAACGUGAUGAAACCCCGUCUCUACUGAAAAAAUUAGCCAGGCAUGGUGGCAUGCACCUGUAAUCUCAGCUACUCAGAAGGCUGAGGCAGGAGAAUCGCUUGAACCUGGAAGACAGAGGUUGCCAUGAGCCGAGAUCUCAUCACUGCACUCCAUCCUGGAUGACAGAGCGGGACUCUGACUUAAAAAAAAAAAAAAAAAUUAUAUACACAUAAUGGCAAUAAUACUUAAUUUUUCCUUUAUAUACUUGUUUUAAAACUGCAAUUAAUUUAUAAAUAUACCCUUUUAAAAUUUGUAAGGAUUUCAAAAAUUUUAGUCAGGCAAUUGAGAUCAUUAAUAUCUUUAACAAAUCAAGCACAAAAAUUAAAACUUCAACUAGAUAUGCCACUAAGAAUGUAAGAGAUUGAACAGAAUAAAAAAUGUAAUAGACAGGCAUACCUCAUUUUACUGUUCUUUGCUUUUUUUGAGCUUUGCAGUUAUUGUUUUUAAAAAAAUUUGAAGGUUUCUGACAACCCUGCAUCCAGCAAGAUUUUUAGUGUUAUUUUUUCAGUAUGUGUUUUCUUUGUGUUUUUGUGUCAUAUUUGGGUAAUUUUCACAACAUUUUAACUUUAUUUAUUAUUAUUAUAUCUCUGAUGACAAUCUUCAAUCAAUGAUUUCUGAUGUUACUAUUAUAAUUUGGCAGAGAGUUGGGGGGUACCACAAUCCACGUCCAUAUAAGACUGCAAACAUAAUUGGUAAGUGUGUAUAUUCUGACUGUUCCACCAAAUGGCCAUUCUCAUCUUUUUUCCCUCUCCUUGGGCCUUCCUAUUUUUUGAGACAUAACAAUACGAUAUUAGACCAAUUAAUGACUCUUCAAUGGCCUUUACUUGUCCAAGUGAAAGGAAGAGUUGCACAUCACUCACAUAAAAUCAAAAGCUAGAAAUGAAACUUAGUAAGGAGGGCAGAUCAAAACCUGGAUAGGCAGAAAGCUAGACUGCUUGCCAGUUAGCCAAGUUACAAAUGCAAAAGAAAAAAAUUUAAAGCAAUCAACAGUGCUAUUCCAGUGAACACAUAAAAAGAUAAGAAAGGGAAAUAGCCGUAUUGCUGAUACGGAGAAAAUUUUAGUGGUCUGGAUAGAAGAUCAAAUUAUUCUCAACAUUCCCUGAAACCAAAGCCUAAUCCAAAGCAAGGCCCUAACUCUCUUUAAUUCUAUGAAGGCUGAGAGAUGAGGAUUCUGCAGAUCAAAAGUUUGACACUAGUAGAGGUUGAUUCAUGAGUUUAAGAAGCCAUCUUCAUAAAAUAAGAGUGUAAGGUGAAGCAGCAAGUAUUGAUAAAGAAAUUGCAAGUUAUUAGAACAAAGGGGCUACAGGCCCCAGGCAACUCCAAAAUCCAGCAGGACACUCAUUAAAUCUUAAAGCUUCAGAGUAGUUUCCUUUGACUCCAUGUCUCCCAUCCAGGGCACACGGAUGCAAUGGGAGGGCUCUCAAGGCUUUGGGCAGCUCUGGCUCUGUGGAUCUGCCUGUCUUUUUCUCAUCUUCCUGUCUUUUUCUGAGCCCUCCAAACUGUUCCAACCUCUGCCCAUUACCCAGCUCCAAAGUUGCUUCCACAUUUUCAGGUAUCUUAAUAGCAACACCCCACCUCUCUAGUUUCCUGUAUUCGUUUGUUGUCACAUUGUUCUCACAUCUUCUGUAUUCCUUUGUUCUCACAUUGUUCUCACAUCUUCUGUAUUACUUUGUUCUCACAUUUGUUCCAUAUUGCUGUAAAGAACUACCUGAGACUGGGUAAUUUAUGAAGAAAACAGGUUUAAAUUACUCACAGUUUCCCAGGUUUUAUAGGUACCGUGGCUGAGGAGGCCUCAGAAAACUUAUAAUUCUGAGAAGGUGAAUGGGAAGCCAAUAUGUCCUACCUGACCAGAAUAGGAGGAAGGUGGAAGGGAGCUGCUACACACUUUUAAACAACCAGAUCUUCUGAAAACUCCAUGACAAGACAGCACUUGGGGGGUUGUCCUAAACCAUUAGACGUAGAAUGCCCUCAAACUUCUCCAUUUUACACAAACACUUGCAAAUGGAAGCUCCAUGAAACCAAAAAAUUGCCCCAAUAGAGUUUUUCUCCUUGUCUUUCCUCAUUCUUAAAUUUUUUCCCACUUACUUUCUUAAAAGGAGGAACCAAGC